GAUGAACGCUGGCGGCGUGCCUAACACAUGCAAGUCGAACGGAGAUUACGGAUGGAAGUUUUCGGAUGGAAGACUGUAAUUCUUAGUGGCGGACGGGUGAGUAACGCGUGGGCAACCUGCCCUAUACAGGGGGAUAGCAGCUGGAAACGGCUGGUAAGACCGCAUAAGUCGGCGAGACCGCAUGGUUUUGCCGGGAAAUGAGCAAUCAGGUAUAGGAUGGGCCCGCGUCCGAUUAGCCAGUUGGCAGGGUAAAAGCCUACCAAAGCAACGAUCGGUAGCCGGACUGAGAGGUCGGACGGCCACAUUGGGACUGAGACACGGCCCAAACUCCUACGGGAGGCAGCAGUGGGGGAUAUUGCACAAUGGAGGAAACUCUGAUGCAGCGACGCCGCGUGAGUGAAGAAGUAUUUCGGUAUGUAAAGCUCUAUCAGCAGGGAAGAUGAUGACGGUACCUGACUAAGAAGCCCCGGCUAACUACGUG
rnacentral:rRNA from 1 species